GACAGAGGGUGCAAACGUUGUUCGGAAUUACUGGGCGUAAAGCGUGCGCAGGCGGUUUUGCAAGCCGGAUGUGAAAUCCCCGGGCUUAACCUGGGAAUGGCAUUUGGGACUGCAAGGCUGGAGUGCGGCAGAGGAGACUGGAAUUCCUGGUGUAGCAGUGAAAUGCGUAGAUAUCGGGAGGAACACCGGUGGCGAAGGCGGUUCUCUGGGCCUGUACUGACGCUGAGGAGCGAAAGCGUGGGGAGCAAACAGG
rnacentral:rRNA from 1 species